UUGACAGCCCUGGGAACUGAAGUUCUCUAGCCACAGACAAGGUACAGCAUGGGCAGUAGUAGUACACACUUCUCCAAGCUGUCCACCCAACUCUGUCUCAGAGGGCUGCAAAUGAAGUUUACCAUCCAUUUUCCUUCAGAGACAUAAAAGCAUCACUGGCAUCGUUGUUACGAUAUA
rnacentral:sRNA from 1 species